GUUUGAUAUGGCUCAGAACGAACGCUGGUGGCGUGUCUUAUACAUGCAAGUCGAGCGAGGCAGCAAUGCCGAGCGGCGAACGGGUGAGUAACGCGUAAGCAAUCUGCCCCAUAUCAGGAAAUACCCGUGCCAACGCGCGGUUAAUGUCCAGGAGAGUGGCCAGCUGCAUGGCUGGUUGACUAGAGAUUUAUCGGUAUGGGAUGAGCUUGCGUCCGAUUAGCUAGUUGGCGGGGCAACGGCCCACCAAGGCGACGAUCGGUAGCCGGCCUGAGAGGGUGAUCGGCCACAUUGGGACUGAGAUACCGGCCCAGACUCCUACGGGAGCAGCAGUAGGAAUAUUGCACAUGGGGAAACCCUGAUGCAGCAACGCCACGUGUGGGGAAAGAAGCAUUUCGGUGUGUAAACCACUGUCAUGAGGGAAUAAGGCCCGCCUUCGGACGGGAUUGAAUGUACCUUGAGAGGAAGCACCGGCAAACUUCGUGCCAGCAGCUGC
rnacentral:rRNA from 1 species